CGUAUCCGGAAUUAUUGGGCGUAAAGAGCUCGUAGGCGGUUUGCCGCGUCUGUCGUGAAAGUCCGGGNCUUAACCCCGGAUCUGCGGUGGGUACGGGCAGACUAGAGUGCAGUAGGGGAGACUGGAAUUCCUGGUGUAGCGGUGGAAUGCGCAGAUAUCAGGAGGAACACCGAUGGCGAAGGCGGGUCUCUGGGCUGUAACUGACGCUGAGGAGCGAAAGCAUGGGGAGCGAACAGGAUUAGAUACCCUGGUAGUCCAUGCCGUAAACGUUGGGCACUAGGUGUGGGGACCAUUCCACGGUUUCCGCGCCGCAGCUAACGCAUUAAGUGCCCCGCCUGGGGAGUACGGCCGCAAGGCUAAAACUCAAAGGAAUUGACGGGGGCCCGCACAAGCGGCGGAGCAUGCGGAUUAAUUCGAUGCAACGCGAAGAACCUUACCAAGGCUUGACAUGUUCUCGAUCGCCG
rnacentral:rRNA from 1 species